UACGGUGGGUGCAGGCAUUGAUCGGAAUCACUGGGUGUAAAGGGCGCGUAGGCGGCAGGAAAAGUCGGAUGUGAAAUUCCGGGGCUCAACCCCGGAGCUGCAUUUGAAACUAUCCAGCUAGAGGUUAGUGAGGGAAAACGGAAUUCCAUGUGUAGCGGUGAAAUGCGUAGAUAUGUGGAAGAACACCGGUGGUGAAGACGGUUUUCUGUACUAAACCUGACGCUGAGGCGCGAAAGCUAGGGGAGCAAACAGG
rnacentral:rRNA from 1 species